rnacentral:tRNA from 1 species
GGGGAUUUAGUUCAGUGGUAGAGCGCUUGCCUAGCAAGCGCAAGGCCCUGGGUUCGAUCCCCAGUUCCG